UUUAUAUGAGAGUUUGAUCCUGGCUCAGGAUGAACGCCGGCGGUGUGCCUAAUACAUGCAAGUCGUACGCACUGGCCCAACUGAUUGAUGGUGCUUGCACCUGAUUGACGAUGGAUCACCAGUGAGUGGCGGACGGGUGAGUAACACGUAGGUAACCUGCCCCGGAGCGGGGGAUAACAUUUGGAAACAGAUGCUAAUACCGCAUAACAACAAAAGCCACAUGGCUUUUGUUUGAAAGAUGGCUUUGGCUAUCACUCUGGGAUGGACCUGCGGUGCAUUAGCUAGUUGGUAAGGUAACGGCUUACCAAGGCGAUGAUGCA
rnacentral:rRNA from 2 species